UAGCUAGAAGUGAGUGGCUCGGUGUGCGUACAGUACCUGGGCAAGGUGCCGUAUGAGUAGCGCCGCCGGUAGGAGCACGACAAGGAGUAGAAGCAGCAGAAGGGCGAGUCGAAGGAGGCGAUGAUGAUGAAGUCGUGGCCGCGGCGGCUCCACGGGCGCGGCUCCCCGCAGCCGGGCCUCGACGACCCGAGCGACGGCCAGUGCCACAUGGCGUGCCGCCUGGUGCAGCCCCACCACCUCACGCGCCACACGGACCGGCCCGAGGUCCUGCCCCUCGUCCGCUCCAAGGACGGGACGACGCCGGUGCCCAAGGUGCGGCCCACGUAGUCGCACACCGACCGCAGGGCGAGGUGGACGGGCGAGACGGCCCAGUGUCAGUAGCCGUUCUAAGGGCUGCGCGAAUCCGGCUGCUCAGAGGGAGGGUGUGACGUCCUCGGCCGCUUAAUGCGGCCCUUGGACGGCCGCUCACACGACUUGACGACUACGAGCCCUAAAGUCUGGUCCGGUGCGAGGCGCGCCACUGGCACUGGAGGCUACCUCUCCGUCGAGGCGGGAACGUUGCCGUCGCGUCGCCACGACCACUAACUAUAAGGCCCCAGUUUCAGUUCCUACCACCGCGCUGCUCAGGUUCAGAGGCCCGUACAAGUUCUCCGACACCUCGAAGCGCUCCGUUCUUGGCAGCCGCAGGUGAUGCCGGACGAGGCCGCCGUCACCGUAGCCUUGUCCGUCGUCUACAUCUCGCCCAUCGUAGUGGACACGACACGUACGUUGGGGCUCUCGAGGCCACGUCCACUUCGUAUCUCGGCCCUAACAGUGGCCUACACGGCGGGUCUCUAGUUGAGGUCACGGGUUCGAGAAGUGUAUAAACGUACGACCAUAUAUACCCUGUAUCUAUAGGAAAAUUUCUAAGUCAUUGUUUAUAUAUCCAAUAAGAGACUAUCUAUUAGCGGAUUCGUCUUUUAAUCAUUUUCAAUAAGAAGGUCGGGUUCUUAAUCAUCGAGGUACCCACGAACUAUCAAAAUGAGUGACUGGAAGAUCUGGGAGAGUGCAGUAAAAAUCUCGUAGAGGUUGUCUGCACACCA
rnacentral:rRNA from 1 species